GAUGAACGCUGGCGGCGUGCUUAACACAUGCAAGUCGAACGGGAAAUAUUUCAUUGUGACUUCGGUGGGUUUGAUUUAUUUCUAGUGGCGGACGGGGGAGUAACGCGUGGGUAACCUGCCUUAUACAGGGGGAUAACAGUCAGAAAUGGCUGCUAAUACCGCAUAAGCGCACAGAGCUGCAUGGCUCAGUGUGAAAAACUCCGUUGGGAUAAGAUGGACCCGCGUGGGGUUAGCUAGUUGGUGGGGUAACGGCCCACCAAGGCGACGAUCCAUAGCCGGCCUGGGGGGGGGAACGGCCACGUUUGGGCUGAGGCACGGACCCGACUCCUACGGGAGGCAGCAGUAGGUAGUAUUGCGCGAUGGGGGAUAACCUGAUGCAGCCGCGCCGCGUGAAGGAAGAAGUAUCUCGGUAUGUAAACUUCUAUCAGCAGGGAAGUUAGUGACGGUACCUGACUAAGAAGCCCCGGCUAACUACGUG
rnacentral:rRNA from 1 species